rnacentral:tRNA from 1 species
GCCUCCAUGGUGGAAUGGUAUACACGGUUGAUUUAAAAUCAACUCUUCUAACUCGGAGAUGCCGGUUCGAGUCCGGCUGGAGGCA